rnacentral:rRNA from 1 species
AACGAACGCUGGCGGCAGGCUUAACACAUGCAAGUCGAGCGCCCCGCAAGGGGAGCGGCAGACGGGUGAGUAACGCGUGGGAAUCUACCCAUCUCUACGGAAUAACGCAUGGAAACGUGUGCUAAUACCGUAUACGUCCUUCGGGAGAAAGAUUUAUCGGAGAUGGAUGAGCCCGCGUUGGAUUAGCCAGUUGGUGGGGUAAAGGCCUACCAAGGCGACGAUCCAUAGCUGGUCUGAGAGGAUGAUCAGCCACACUGGGACUGAGACACGGCCCAGACUCCUACGGGAGGCAGCAGUGGGGAAUAUUGGACAACGGGCGCAAGCCUGAUCCAGCCAUGCCGCGUGAGUGAUGAAGGCCCUAGGGUUGUAAAGCUCUUUCACCGGUGAAGAUAAUGACGGUAACCGGAGAAGAAGCCCCGGCUAACUUCGUGCCAGCCGCCGCCGUAAUAC